GCGGGGCACGGCCCCUCUUUUUGGACCCAAGGUCGGCUUCAGCCGACCGAUCCGGGUGAAAGACGUUGUCAGGUAGGGAGUUUGGCUGGGGUGGCACAUCUGUUAAAAGAUAACGCAGGUGUCCUAAGAUGAGCUCAACAAGAACAGAAAUCUCGCGUGGAACAAAAGGGUAAAAGCUUGUUUGAUUCUGAUUUUCAAUACGAAUACGAACCGCGAAAGCGUGGCCUAUCGAUCCUUUAGACCUUCGGAAUUUGAAGCUAGAGGUGUCAGAA
rnacentral:ncRNA from 1 species